UACGUAGGGCGCAAGCGUUGUCCGGAAUUAUUGGGCGUAAAGCGCACGUAGGCGGUCCGUUAAGUCGGAUGUGAAAGCCCCCGGCUCAACCGGGGAAGUGCAUCCGAAACUGGCAGGCUAGAGUACGAAAGAGGGUCGCGGAAUUCCCGGUGUAGAGGUGAAAUUCGUAGAUAUCGGGAGGAACACCGGUGGCGAAGGCGGCGACCUGGGUCGAUACUGACGCUGAUGCACGAAAGUGUGGGGAUCAAACAGG
rnacentral:rRNA from 1 species